AGGCAUUAUGUUAAAAAAGUAAAAAUAAGUAAGUAAAAAGGUAAGUAAAAAAGUAAACGGCUAUGUUCAAUCCCAUCUAUUGUAGUUAGAGGUGUUUGCAUGACAUAUACCUAAAGGUGAAUGUGUGUUCGUGUAGGUGUGUGCAUAUAAGACGAAGGUGUAUUAGUGUGGGUUUGUGCAUAAAUAUGUAGGUCUAAGUUCGAAUACUGGGUAUUGUAUGUAUUGACAAUACAACAGAGGACCGAGUUACGUGCGUAAUUAGUUCUUACUCGAGAUGUAUGAGACAAUGGCUUAAUAUGUCUAGAGUGUCUUGAUGGUAUUCGGAAUUCAAUCUGGGAUUAAAU
rnacentral:misc_RNA from 1 species